AGCCUCUCACCAUCCUCUUACUUGAGAGGAUCCUCAAGUAAGGUACAGAGCUCGUGGUAGUCUCACUGUGUCCUCAGCAGUGCUGAGUAUUGGCAAUAAUAAUUUCUCUUAAUCUGCUGGACCCACUUCUCCUACGGAACGCUAGCACGCUCUUGUUCAGGUAACAAAAUCAAAAUGGCUUCCGUCCCACUGUACUUGUUCCUGUUUGGUUUUAGUCACAAGAGAGUACAGGUUAUUCUCGCAUCGCAGAGUUUUUUGAGAUCCCUCUUACAUCUCAGCAAGCAUUAUUCAUGAGACUACAAAGCUCUUGUCUGCCAUGUGCAUUCAUUCAUGUUCAAAGCUUGCAAAGGAAUGCUACUUGGUUUCAUGUUCAAGGAAAUACUGCCAUAGGAUCAUUUGCUUUUUGUACUGACAAAGAGACAAAAUGUACCCUGUGACAUUAGGUCAGUUCAGUCAUUGGGGCCCUUGA
rnacentral:lncRNA from 1 species